AGACAGGGUCUUGCUCGGUCACCUAGGCUGAAGUGCAGUGGCACAGUCACAGUUCACUAUAACCUUGAACUCCGGGCUCAAAUCGUCUUCCUGCCUUGGCUUUCCAGAGGGUUUGGAUUACAGAACAAUUGCAAUUCAAUACUGGGAGGACUUCCAGAAGGAUUUCAUCAAAUAACAAGCGUGUUAUUCAGAGAUCCAUAAUGAUAUGUUCAGACCCAAGUACAGACACUUCUUUGGAAUGAUUAUAGCAGAAGAGAAAUUCAAAACAAACAAUGCAUUAGAUACUCUGCCAGAAUGGUCACCAAAAGUUUCAGAAGUGUGCUAGCUGCCAAGAAUAACACAAAACUUGUAACACGACAUGUCAACAUAAAACAAUGGAUGUGCAGAUUGGCUAAACCAUGAUAUAUAUAUAACAAUAGCCAAACAUUGUUAACUUGAAAAAUUCAUGAUUUCUCCCGUGUCAUAAAUUUGAGUUUUAUUUCUAAAAAGUUUUAUUUCCGUCUUUACUUUUCCAUACUUUCAGCCCUAACACUGCCCCCAAUUCUAAACUGACUUCUGUAAAAGAAAUUUGUUAAAUGAAUUCUUAUAGUUAAUCCCAGUAAUACAGAAUGCUAUUCAUGCACUGAAAGUGUGUGUGUGUGUGUGUGUGUGUGUGUGUGUGUGUGUGUGUGUGUGUGUUUUCUCUCAAAUAAAUUCUGGAAUUCAGUUUAAGAAAUACAAAUCUUGGGCCAGGUGCAGUGGUUCAGGACCUGUAAUCCCAGCACUUUGGGAGGCUGAGGUGGGUGGAUUGCUUGAGGCCAGGAGUUCGAGGCUAGCCUGGCCAACAUGGUGAAACCCCGUCUCUACUAAAAUGCAAAAAUUAGCUGGGUUUGAUGGCACAUGCCUGUAAUCCCAGCUACUAGGGGAGACUGAGGCAGGAGAAUUGCUUGAACCCAGGAGGCAGAGUUUGCAGUGAACCGAGAUCGUACCACUGCACUCCAGUCUAGGUGACGGAGUAAGACUUCAUCUCCAAACAAAAACAAAACAAAACAGAAAAACAAAUCUCAUAGUACCAAUCUUUCAAUCUGUAGAUUUACAUCUAAGAAGUAACGUCAGUCUAUUCUUGUCUUAGAAUUACUGCCAUUCAAUCUACUGCUAGUCUUGCAACAGUAAUAAAUAAAAAUCAAUCUAAAUAAAUUAUCACAAUAAUACAACGCAAAUGAAAGGAAUAUUAAGCCAACACCAUACGACUUCAAGUGGAAAUUUGUCAAAGAUCAAUAGUCUAACUUAUUCUUACCAUAAUUUCUAUCGUACAUAAUACAGUAUGUAUGUGUGUACAUACAUAUGUAUGUAUGCAUGUAUGUGUGUACAUACAUAUGUAUGCAUGUAUGUGUGCAUGUAUAUGAACACACACAUAUACUGUAUUAUGUGUAUAUAGCUAUACAGAUAUAUAUAGAUAUAAAGGCUGCUUCACCGCUUUAAGUUUCUCUUAUAGUACAAUGGCUCCCCUAAGAGGGUUACAGUAUUCCAUUGACUGCUCUGUGAAUUCAUUUGCUGUGAGUUAUUUCUGGCCAGCGAAAGCAUGCAGUUACCUUUUGAGUAUCGUUCAAGUAGGCACUCCAUGAUUUUACCAGAGGUUUUUCCUGUAGAAAUAAAUCUGUGUAUUAUUUGUCUAGUCAAAAACAGAGCAUGCUGACAUGGGAUCAGUGGGGGAUUGGAAAAUGGAUCUGGGGUUGAGAAGAACGAGUAAGAGGGAAUGUACUUAUUUCAAUAAUACACCCAGGACAAAAAAACAAAAUAUAUUAUUUAAAGUUAUGGAAGUAAUGUGUGUAUGGAGCUAUAUGCAGGAAAACCUUAAUCGGUUUAAUUCCUCUACACAAGUACUUAACUCUCGUCUGUGUAUGAUGUAAUUUUAUUGUCAUUUGAUUUCCAUUCCCCUUGUUAAUUAUUAUAUUUCACCACUUUUAACACCUUCUUGUUGUGCUUGAUUUAAGAAGAGAUGUAAAUAUGCAGCUUUUAAAAUCCUGGAGAAAAAUUAUCUACUCACCUCCCAUCAUACACAUACCUAAAAAAGCAUAUGUAUGCACGCAUGCACACACAUGCCACAAAUCUUGACUUUCCAUCCUAAGAAUGCACAGUGAAAAGGACAUUAUUUGCCUAUCACAGUAUCAAACAAUAACUCUUAAAAGCUCUUCCCAUCACACUUCCUUUUAAGAUAAGUGGGUAUUUUUUACAUUGAAACGAUACAUAGUAACCUUCUAAAGUAAGCCCCUAGAUUUAGAAUAUUUUGGCAGUAGUGUUUUUAGUGAGUAUACAGUGACUGAUACAGACAUUGUUAAAAUUAGAGGCUGAACAUGUUUGAUGUUUAUCUUUCCUCCUUCUCCUCCUUUCUCUCAUCAUUUCAUAAAAGCAAUGACUUGGAUUUUAUUAUGGAAAUUAUGCCAUUCUGUUUAGAGACAUCAUUUUUAAAUGUAGGUUUAGGUAUGUAUUUGUCUAAUAAUUAAUUACUAAUACUACCUGAGUCAAUAGUAAAAUUACUAUUCAAUAAAAUUCCUGUAAGAUAUAAUUU